rnacentral:rRNA from 1 species
CCUACGGGGUGCAGCAGUGGGGAAUAUUGGGCAAUGGGCGCAAGCCUGACCCAGCAACGCCGCGUGAAGGAAGAAGGCUUUCGGGUUGUAAACUUCUUUUCUCAGGGACGAAGAAAGUGACGGUACCUGAGGAAUAAGCCACGGCUAACUACGUGCCAGCAGCCGCGGUAAUACGUAGGUGGCAAGCGUUAUCCGGAUUUAUUGGGUGUAAAGGGCGUGUAGGGGGGAGGGCAAGUCAGAUGUGAAAACUCAGGGCCCAACCCUGAGCCUGCAUUUGAAACUGUGUUUCUUGAGUGCGGGAGAGGCAAGCGGAAUGCCGGGUGUAGCGGUGAAAUGCGUAGAUAUACGGAGGAACACCAGUGGCGAAGGCGGAUUGCUGGACAGUAACUGACGCUGAGGCGCGAAAGCGUGGGGAGCAAACAGGAUUAGAUACCCUUGUAGUC